CUGGGUGCCGGCCGCACCCAGGAACGUUCGCAGGACCAUGCUGCUGCUGAUGCCCAGAGACUGCCGCUGGGCGCCAGCCCGCCCCAGAAAAAGUUUGCGCAAAUUGUGUAGCAGCAGCGUUUCAGGACUAUGGAAAUUCACAACGCACACCUGGCACCAGGCUUCCCCCUUAACGACCUUGUUCCAGCACCAGCGAAUGUGGUUGUUCUCCUGGGCCCACUGGGGCAUUUGCCCUGGGGGGGGGGGGGGACACACAGCCUCUACAAGAUGUCCUCCCAACCGAGGAACCGCCUCUGCCAUGUGGCCCGAAGACCCCCGGACCCCACUCUGUUCCUGGGGAUUCGCCCUUCCCACCAGAGCACCUCCAGCACCCCUGUCAUGUGGACAAGCUUGGCAUUCUCCCCAUCAUAUUACAGAUAAGGAAAUGGAGGCUCUCAGAGCUCACUUGUUAGACUCAAAGAACCUUCUUCACUGGCUGGACAUGGGCUGGAGCCCUGGCAUCUUGAAAAAGCAAUGCAUUGAAUAAGAAGGCUUUGCCUGUCUCCCGCGCUGGACCCCGAGCUCCCUGAAGACAGGGGUCUUGUCUAGUUCACUGUGCGUCUCCAGCUCCUAGAACACAUGUCAACUGGGACGGAAGGAUCCGCUUCCAAGACGGCUCACUCUAAGUCGGCCACUGGCUGUUGGUUUCACACAGGCCUCUCCGCAGGGCUGCUUGGGUUUUCUUGCCGCGUGAUGACUGGGUUCUAAGAACACUCGCUCUUGGAACUGAGGCACCAUGCUGCAAGGAAGCCCAGGCCACGUGAAGAGGCCACUUUGGGGAUCCCAGCAGAUAGCCCAUGAUCCUGGCAUCAACUGUCAGGCGUCUAAGUGAGCCAAUUCAGAGGACCCCGGCCCCCAGCCUUCGAGUCUUCCAUCAGAGGCACCAGUGACAAACCAUCCUCACCAUGUUCUGUCUGCAUUCCGGACCCACACGACCCAUGGGCAUGAUAAAUGGUUACUUAAUGCCAACUUUUGAGUGAUUUGUUGGGUAGCCAUAGUAACUGGCACAGUGGGCAAAGUGAAAUAUAACAAUGAGACCUCCAGAAAGCAGUUCCACCGGCAGGAGGAGUCUGGUGGAAACUCACCAGAACGGUCCGGCCAUUGAAGCUGGCUUCCACCAGACAGACACAGGAGAGUGUGGCUGCUUCCUCAACAACGGCUGCCGUGAGCUCAGGCCUCAGGUGUCUGCUAGGGUCCCCCAGCUGGGUACGCUUUCUGGCCAGAACUGCUGCGAGAGCGUCAAGCCUACAUUACAGCACAUGCCUGGGGGAAACGCAUCCUGCUUGGUGGCUGUCCGCGCACCCUUCUCCCCGGAUCCUAGCUCCUGGCGGGGACUUGCAGGGAGUAGAGUGUCCCUGCCUCGCCGCAGGACGAGGAUGGCAGGCUGGGCCUAGGUCACCGGUCUCACCUCUGAGCCUUCCGGAGCCUCUCCGGCCAGAGGACUUCCCUGGGCUCUCUCGGUACCGAAACCUUUUCUGGCGUUCCUCGCAGCCACGUGUCUGUUUCCCCCUUUCCCAGCAACCCGUGUAUCCUGGCAUCCAAGCAGCCUGACGCUUUGAGGGUGUUGUGUGGAGCCUGCUGAAGGAACAAGUGGCCGAGGCCGGAUGCAUGCUCAGGGUCCACGCAUCAACCAUCUGUGCCUCCCGGGCCCUUCACCUUUCUGUGAGAAGGGUCCUUUCUCGCCACAGAUGCGCCUCCCAAAGUGCACAAAUUUCUGGUGACACACACACACCCUUAAGAGGUCAAGAAUGUGGUCUGACAGAGACAAGUUACAAAAUAAAAACAAAGCUGUCGGUGGUCCCCCUAAUGGUGCAUUUCGGGGAGGAGUUGGGGACUUGGUGGAGUAGUCCGAGGGUGCCUCGGCCCUGGGUGGGACUGGUGACUCCUCUGCACAGCUGUCUGUGAGGCCAGAGGACCCCCCUUGACCACCUGCAACCCGUUCCCACUUACCCAUCACCCUGGCUGCAGGGGAGGCAGGGACAAGGCUUCUGCCUGUAGAAGGGGUCCUGGGAGGAGGAUGUGUUGUUAGUGCGAUUCCCCGAUUCCCCGGGGCUGGCCCUGAGAGAAGACUGAAGAGUGGCUUAAGUGGGAGGAGCAAAUGCCAAGGAGGAGUGGGGAAGGGAGUCAGGAGGGGAAGGCACUCAGCACCUGGACUCAACCCUGCAGGGAAGCCUCCCUCCCCCGCCAGCCUGCACUCACCGCUCCUCAGCCAGAGCAGAGCCCCUCUCGGGAGAUGGGGCCCCAAAGCUCUCAGGCACAGAUGUAGGUAGUGCAGGAGGAUGAGCCAGCUGCCCGGAAGUGGUCUUCCCAGAGGAUACGGGUGAAGCCCCCAUCAUACCUGCCGCACAGGGUCCCUGCUCCCGGCGGCCGGCGAGGGAUGCCAGCGUGCGUGGCUGUCACUGGUCACCAUCACCAGCACGAGCCACCUGAGAAGUGUGCCGGGCCCUCCAACUUUUUCAUGGCAGAACCUGUGGAUAAUAAAGUUGCUUGGGGGAAUGGGUUGUGACCCAUGGGAGGGAAAGUCCCUUGCUGGCUGGGCCUGGGACAGAGACCUAGGCCAGGGAUGGGCCCACGCACAAAUCCUGGCAGUGGCACAAAGGUAUCACUGGCCUCAUGGCUCUACCUAAGCUAAAAGGAUCCCCCUUACCUUUCCUAGUUUGUUAAGACUUGGGGGAGCCCUCCCCACUGUGGCCCUGCAUCAAACCCUGUGUUAGGUGGGCAUAAGUGAGGCUACCAGGGCAAACCUGGUGUGGAGGGGAGACAGUGCAGAGGGGAGGGCAAGCCGUUGGGGCCACACCCCUAAAUGACUUCUUGGAGCAGCGGGCCUAGCAGGGCCCAAAUUGGGGAAGAAGGGACUGGCACGGUUAGGCGUGAGCCCUAGGGAAGUGCCUCAUGCAGUGACAUGGGUGAGGCUGGGCUGGGGGCCCUGCUGGCCAUGUCCUGGACUGGUGUCCUGUGACUCAGGCCUGCUCAGCAUCUUGCCCUGGUCCCCCACCCAGAACAAGUCAAGCUACAUUCUCAGUUUCACAUUAGUCUUUUAUUAUAACUGUAUUUAAUGGGAUCACUUUGCCAAAAGGAGAAGUCAUUUCUUAAAUCAGUAUGAGUUACAGCAUAAAGAUGAAUGAGAACAAAGCAAUAGGAUAUAAAUGGCACAACAGGAUAUUCCAUAAGUCAAAUGAAUUGUGCCAUCAUGAGACAAAUUAUUAUGACAACUUUUACAUCAAAGUGGUCUCAAGCCUGUUUACAGGAACUUUAGAUUUCUUUUCAACACUAUAAAAAGAGAGCUUUUGAAAGUAACAUGGGGGGUGGGGUGGGGUGGGGUGGGGAAGCGGUUUUGGCCCGUGAGAAGGAAGCUCGGCUUGCCAGGUGCCGUCCUUAAUUCAUCCCGGCCUCCUCUCCCUGUCCCACGGCCCCCCAGAGCCCCUGUUCUGUACACAUGGGGGCGGGGACCGGUGUGCACCUGCAGGGGAGGGGGAUGGAAUGAUGGCAUGGCCUGGCCUCCACAGGACAGCCACUGGGAGGGCCUGCAUCGCCCCUCACCCUGCUCCCCGCAACACUGGUUCUAUAACAGCCCCUGGAGGCAACUUCUUAAGGAAACAAUAAAAUGAAAACAAAAAUAGUAAAUUUAAGUCACCUCUGGCAGAUUACCUAUCUUUAGGAGACAACGUAACUGCCACUGAGUUUUGUAUUUGUUCAUCGUCUCUGACAAAAUGGAGGAGUCCUUCGUGUUAGCGGUGGGCAAUCAGACCCGAAGGACUAAUGAACUCUGUCAGAUGCAGAGAAGGCAAAGCACAGGGAGGCCUCGGGUGUAUUUUUAGUCACACUUAUUCCGCAGUGGUAUUACUUCUUACCAGAUUGCAGUUAGAAGUAGCAUUUGCAGGAGAUCACCUUUGGAAGAAGAAUCCAGUAUAAUUAAAUGUUUAAAGUGUUAUAAGACCCCUUGGCAUAUACAAAAGGUAAGGCAAAGUCAUAAUGACUUUCUUUCUCUAAUCUGUAGCUCUCAUAUGUAAUGUACAGAGAGAAAAUUUAACUCAAAUUUCCAGACUGAUCAGAGAGGAAUGCAUGAAA